CUGUGGAGCUAGAUCUCCAUGGUAACUGAUGCUGAGGAGCUAGAUCUCCAUGGUAACUGAUGCUGAGGAGCUAGAUCUCCAUGGUAACUGAUGCUGUGGAGCUAGAUCUCCAUGGUAACUGAUGCUGAUCUGGUCUAGAGGAGGCUUUUGUUCAGUUUGGGAGUUAGUCUCUCAGUAACACCAGCCUGUAACCAGUUCUCGUCUUCAUUAUCCUCUCAGUGAUACAGAAUCUCCUGUUGAGCUGUUUAGUAAAAAUCCAAGUAAAUGAAGCCGUGCAGCUACAGAAUCCCACACUGCAUGCAUGUAAAUGUAUAAAUAUGUUUUGGUGCUUGGUUCUGAUUAGUUGUCCAGUCCGUUUUAUGCUGCUCAGAUCAGAAAAUUAUCACAGAGAAGAUUCUACCAAUAACACCAGUUUCACUUUGAUUUCCACGUCUCCUUAAUUCUGGGACAGAGUCGGAUCUAAAUGUUGAGCACCAUGUUUAAAUAUGUGAACUGAAUGUGUUUGGAAGGCCCCCCCCCAUCUAUAAAGUCAUUAAAAAUGACGCUACUUAUCAGUCAGUAAACAGACAGCAGUAACCAGGUGGUAUCUGUGCUACACAUCAGCUUAAAGGCCAAGUAGGGUUUUAUACUCUGUUGGAUGUUUUUGCUAAUAUGACAGGACUAAAAAACAGUCACAGCACGGAGUUAAAACAAACCGUGAAGGUGAAACAUGAUUGGUCAGUUUGGUGCAGAGGAAGAGUGAAGUUAUUUCAGCUCUACAUGAGACAACAGGUACCAUUUUUUGGUUUUUUGUAGAUGAACACAAUGAUCAAAAACACAAACAGCUGGAGCUAAAAUCAAUGCUCUGAGUUACUGUGACCUACGGGAACAACCAUCCCAGUCAAUUCACAGGUGUUACCAUCCCACAUAAACAGGAACAAUCCAUAUCCAACAGUGACUUAGAGCUUCGUUUGGUCUUUGUAAAGUCGCCUUAAGGCCUCUUGUGACACUAGAAGCUGAAGGUUUGAACGACUGAUCAGGACCUGCAGACAGGCUGCUGAGCAGGGCGUUCCAGAAAAGUAAGUCGAGGCUUGACGAGUUCAAAGACUUUACAUCUAGUAUCACAGCGAGGUGAUCUAACAUCUGAGCAGCAAACCAGCUGAUCUGAUCGCUACUGCAGUUACUGGAGAUGGUUCUUUAAUGUGGUCCUUUUGAUUCUUUAGUGGAGAUCUUGUGUCUUUCUGUGGUAUAUUCACCUAUUUGGAGGCAUUUUGUAGUACGUUUGUGGUGCUUUUGUCUCUUUGUGCUGAUUUUGUGUCUAUUUGUGGCAGUUUUGGCCUUUUUGUGGUCACUUUGUGUGUUUUUGUGAUACUACACUUACCUCUUUGUGCCAGUUUUGGAUCUACGUUUCUCAUUCUGUGGUAAUUAUCCAGCUUUUUUAGUCAUUUUAGUGUCAGUUUUUCCCAGAACUCAGAUGUUUCUCCUCCUAAAUGUCAUGGUUCUGUCUGCUGGACUGAUGAAGUUCUAAAAAAGUCCAUUAAAAGUGAUAAA